rnacentral:lncRNA from 1 species
UCUCCUCAAGCCUUGUAAGUUUGAUUUGAAGAUCUUGCAUUCUAUGUACAAUCUUCUCAAGUUUCAUUGUUAAAAUACGUGAAGUCUUGCUUGAGAAUGCUCCGCGCACAUGGCUAUGGAAGAUAGAAUGGAAAUUAUAACAACAAAAUCCUAAUUUUAAUAGAAUACUAACAAUGCUAAACAAGCUUUAAUCAAAUUCAAAAAAACCUUAAAAGAAUUACAAAUAAAUAAUAAGAAAUCUUAAAGAAAUAUUAGAAUGAUCACAAAUAUAUUUCAAAUAAAUCUCAAUCCAAUUUUAAUUUAAUUUUAGUUAAAACUCUAUUGGAUUUUAUUCAAACUUUAGACCAAAAACUAACUAAAUCUUAAACUGUAAUCAAAUCCUACAAAAAUCCUAAAUCCUAAAUCAACUCUCAACUAAAUCUUAAUCUUAAAUCAAAUCCUAACCAAAUGCUAAAUCCUAAAAUCCUAGAAUCUAAAUCGUAAUCCUAAAUCAAGCCUUAACCAAAUCCUAAAUCCUAAAUCAAAACCUAAACCAAAUCCUAAUCAAAUCCUAAAUCCUAAAUCAAAUCCUAACCAAAUCCUAACCAAAUUUUAAAUCCUAAAUCAAAUCCUAAAUCCUAAAUCAAAUCCUAACCAAAUCCUAACCAAACUUUAAAUCCUAAAUCAAAUCCUAAAUCCUACAUCAAAUUCUAAAUUCUAAAUUAAAUCCUAAAUCCUAAAUCCUAAACCAAAUCCUAAUCAAAUCCUAAUCCUAAGUCAAAU